rnacentral:rRNA from 1 species
GUGGGGAAUAUUGGACAAUGGGCGCAAGCCUGAUCCAGCCAUGCCGCGUGAGUGAUGAAGGCCUUAGGGUUGUAAAGCUCUUUCGUCAGGGAAGAUAAUGACGGUACCUGAAGAAGAAGCCCCGGCUAACUUCGUGCCAGCAGCCGCGGUAAUACGAAGGGGGCUAGCGUUGCUCGGAAUCACUGGGCGUAAAGCGCACGUAGGCGGCUUUCUAAGUCAGGGGUGAAAUCCUGGAGCUCAACUCCAGAACUGCCUUUGAUACUGGAGAGCUUGAGUUCGGGAGAGGUGAGUGGAACUGCGAGUGUAGAGGUGAAAUUCGUAGAUAUUCGGAAGAACACCAGUGGCGAAGGCGACUCACUGGCCCGUUACUGACGCUGAGGCGCGAAAGCGUGGGGAGCAAACAGGAUUAGAAACCCGUGUAGUCC